rnacentral:tRNA from 1 species
GCAGGAUUAGUUCAAUGGUAGAACGCAACCUUGCCAAGGUUGACACGCGGGUUCGAUUCCCGUAUCUUGCU